GACGAACGCUGGCGGCGUGCUUAACACAUGCAAGUCGAACGGAAAGGCCCUGCUUUUUUUGUGUGCUCGAGUGGCGAACGGGUGAGUAACACGUGAGUAACCUGCCCUUUACUUUGGGAUAACUUCAGGUAACUGGGUCUAAUACCGGAUAGGAGCUCCUGCUGCAUGGUGGUGGUUGGAAAGUUUCGGCGGUUGGGGAUGGACUCGCGGCUUAUCAGCUUGUUGGUGGGGUAGUUGCUUACCAAGGCUUUGACGGGUAGCCGGCAUGAGAGGGUGAGCGGCGAAAUUGGGACUGAGAUACGGCACAGACUGCUACGGGAGGCAGCAGUGGGGAAUAUUGCAGAAUGGGCGGAAGCGUGAUGCAGCAAAGCAGCGUGGGGGAUGACGGCAUACGGGUUGUAAACCGCUUUCGCCUGUGACGAAGAGUGAGUGACGGUAAUGGGUAAAGAAGCACCGGCUAACUACGUG
rnacentral:rRNA from 1 species